CCCUUAGAGUUUGAUCCUGGCUCAGGAUGAACGCUAGCUACAGGCUUAACACAUGCAAGUCGAGGGGCAGCAUUUUAGUUUGCUUGCAAACUAAAGAUGGCGACCGGCGCACGGGUGAGCAACACGUAUCCAACCUGCCGAUAACUCAGGGAUAGCCUUUCGAAAGAAAGAUUAAUACCUGAUGGCAUAGGAUUAUCGCAUGAUAAUCCUAUUAAAGAAUUUCGGUUAUCGAUGGGGAUGCGUUCCAUUAGGCAGUUGGUGAGGUAACGGCUCACCAAACCUUCGAUGGAUAGGGGUUCUGAGAGGAAGGUCCCCCACAUUGGAACUGAGACACGGUCCAAACUCCUACGGGAGGCAGCAGUGAGGAAUAUUGGUCAAUGGACGGGAGUCUGAACCAGCCAAGUAGCGCGAAGGAUGACUGCCCUAUGGGUUGUAAACUUCUUUUAUACGGGAAUAAAGUGAUCCACGUGU
rnacentral:rRNA from 1 species